ensembl:lncRNA
CCAGGGUCAGGGAACAGGAGGGAGAAGGAGCAAGAAACUGGGUCUUACUCAAAGCGUGCUAGCUAGCUUGCUAGCUCACAGGGCACACUGGUCGCCUCCCGGCUGCUUCUCAUCUUUCCUUCAAGAAAUAACCAGACGCAAGAGGGAUCAAAGAGAAAGGGCAAGACACUCAAGGCGUUCCAUGGGCUGCACUCCGUCCUGGGGAGACAACAACAUCCAACUUGGAUGGCCAGACAAAAAGAAACAGCAGACAAAGCAAGGCUCCCAAAACAUGACUGUUUAGGGGUCUUCCUUGUGUAAAAC